rnacentral:lncRNA from 1 species
AAAAUUUGAUAUUAAACACUAUAUUUUGAUAGAAUAGUAUUAAUCUACUAGUAAACAAGUUGAUAAUAAAUAAAUAAAUAAAUAAAUAUAUAAAUAUUAGAGAGAGAGAGAGAGAGGCUACAAUGCUAAAAAAUAACGCCCAAGUAUUUGGAGCUACCAAAUUUUUCAGCGUUAGAUCUAUCUUUUUAAUUAUUUUUACCCUUUAUAUUUUAGGGGCAAUUGCUUAUAUAGUCCUGAAAAGUUUCCGACUUUCUGAUUUAUCCUUCUUAAAAGACUAAUAUUGAAAAUAACUAUUUUACGUUCCAACCUAUUUCAAAUAUACUCCUGGAGUUAAAAUCCAUUAACAAACUCUGUUAUUCUAUAUAAAAUUACUAUUUUGCCCUUUCAAAUAUACCCUUCUAUCAUCAAUGACAUUUCUUUUUUACCCUUAAGUCAGGGGCUAAAAAAGUAUUUUGACUUUUGGUUUUUUCAAAUAGACCCCUCUACCGUCACCAACAUUUUUUAUUUGCCCUUAAGUUGAGGGCAAAAUUGGCAUUUUAAUUUUUUUUAACUGUGGCAGAUAUUUAACUCACGUUUAACCCAAAUUAACUUAACAAGGGAUAACUGCCGGGGUAUUUUGCAAUAACGGUGGAACAUAUGAGGGGUAUUUUAGAAAGAAAAAAAAAAGUAGGGAUAAAUCAAAUAUUUUCAAACGUAUGAAGAGUAUAUAGGCAAUUAUCCCUAUAUUAUACUACUCUACCAA